AGCGAACGCUGGCGGCAUGCUUAACACAUGCAAGUCGCGCGGGUGGUUUCGGCCAUCAGCGGCGGACGGGUGCGUAUCGCGUAGGAAUGUAUCCCGAGGUGGGGGACAACCCUGGGAAACUGGGGCUAAUACCGCAUGGGGCCUGUGGGUCAAAGCCUUAGGGCGCCUUGGGAGCAGCCUGCGUCCGAUUAGGUAGUUGGUGGGGUAAAGGCCUACCAAGCCUGCGAUCGGUAGCUGGUCAGAGAGGACGAUCCGCCACACUGGGACUGAGACACGGCCCAGAAUCCUACGGGAGGGAGCAGUGGGUAAUAUUGGACAAUGGGGGCAAGCCUGAUCCAGCAAUGCCGGGUGGGUGAAGAAGGUCUUCGGAAUGUAAAGCCCUUUCGGCGGGGACGAUGAUGACGGUACCCGCAGAAGAAGCCCCGGCUAACUUCGUG
rnacentral:rRNA from 1 species